rnacentral:rRNA from 1 species
ACGGAGGGUGCGAGCGUUAUUCGGAAUUACUGGGCGUAAAGCGCGUGCAGGCGGUUUGGCAAGUCUGAUGUGAAAGCCCCGGGCUUAACCUGGGAAGUGCAUUGGAAACUGCCGGACUUGAGUACUGGAGAGGAAGGGGGAAUUCCCGGUGUGUACCUGAAAUUCGGAGAGAUCGGGCGGAAUCGCAGCGGCGUAGGCGCCAUUCUGGCCGGUUACUGAUUCUGGGACGCGAAAGGGAUUACAGGAAACAG